GCGGCUAGCCCUUCUUGGGCGUUUCCUCCCUAGACUUCGGGCCACCCACCGUCUCAACGCGGGGUGGCCUUCUUUCUGUCCGGG
rfam:Methylobacterium radiotolerans JCM 2831 plasmid pMRAD05, complete sequence.